rnacentral:rRNA from 1 species
CCCUUAGAUGUUCUGGGCUGCACGCGCGCUACACUGACGCACGCAACAGGUGCCUGCUCCGAGAGGACUGGGUAAUCAUUUGAGUGUGCGUCGUGAUGGGGAUAGAAUAUUGUAAUUAUUACUCUUCAACGAGGAAUUCCUAGUAAGCGCCAGUCAGCAGCUUGCGCUGAUUACGCCCCUGCCCUUUGUACACACCGCCCGUCGCUCCUACCGAUGGGUGAUCCGGUGAAUGAUUCGGACUUCAGCGGCUCCCCUGGGGUGCGCCGGAGAAAGUUUUGUGAACCUUAUCACUUGGAGGAAGGAGAAGUCGUAACA